UACGAAGGGGGCUAGCGUUGUUCGGAAUUACUGGGCGUAAAGCGCGCGCAGGCGGCCAUCCAAGUCAGUUGUGAAAGCCCGGAGCUCAACUCCGGAACUGCCAUUGAAACUGGUUGGCUAGAGUACGGGAGAGGUGAGUGGAAUUCCCAGUGUAGAGGUGAAAUGCGUAGAUAUUGGGAAGAACACCGGUGGCGAAGGCGGCUCACUGGAUCGUUACUGACGCUGAGGCGCGACAGCGAGGGGAGCAAACAGG
rnacentral:rRNA from 1 species